rnacentral:rRNA from 1 species
GGGUGAGGGUGACUGCGUACCUUUUGUAUAAUGGGUCAGCGACUUAUAUUCUGUAGCAAGGUUAACCGAAUAGGGGAGCCGGAGGGAAACCGAGUCUUAAYYGGGCGUUAAGUUGCAGGGUAUAGACCCGAAACCCGGUGAUCUAGCCAUGGGCAGGUUGAAGGUUGGGUAACACUAACUGGAGGACCGAACCGACUAAUGUUGAAAAAUUAGCGGAUGACCUGUGGCUGGGGGUGAAAGGCCAAUCAAACCGGGAGAUAGCUGGUUCUCCCCGAAAGCUAUUUAGGUAGCGCCUCGUGAAUUCAUCUCCGGGGGUAGAGCACUGUUUCGGCUAGGGGGCCAUCCCGGCUUACCAACCCGAUGCAAACUGCGAAUACCGGAGAAUGUUAUCACGGGAGACACACGGCGGGUGCUAACGUCCGUCGUGAAGAGGGAAACAACCCAGACCGCCAGCUAAGGUCCCAAAGUCAUGGUUAAGUGGGAAACGAUGUGGGAAGGCCCAGACAGCCAGGAUGUUGGCUUAGAAGCAGCCAUCAUUUAAAGAAAGCGUAAUAGCUCACUGGUCGAGUCGGCCUGCGCGGAAGAUGUAACGGGGCUAAACCAUGCACCGAAGCUGCGG